rnacentral:rRNA from 1 species
UUGUAUAAUGGGUCAGCGACUUAUAUUCUGUAGCAAGGUUAACCGAAUAGGGGAGCCGAAGGGAAACCGAGUCUUAACUGGGCGUUAAGUUGCAGGGUAUAGACCCGAAACCCGGUGAUCUAGCCAUGGGCAGGUUGAAGGUUGGGUAACACUAACUGGAGGACCGAACCGACUAAUGUUGAAAAAUUAGCGGAUGACUUGUGGCUGGGGGUGAAAGGCCAAUCAAACCGGGAGAUAGCUGGUUCUCCCCGAAAGCUAUUUAGGUAGCGCCUCGUGAAUUCAUCUCCGGGGGUAGAGCACUGUUUCGGCAAGGGGGUCAUCCCGACUUACCAACCCGAUGCAAACUGCGAAUACCGGAGAAUGUUAUCACGGGAGACACACGGCGGGUGCUAACGUCCGUCGUGAAGAGGGAAACAACCCAGACCGCCAGCUAAGGUCCCAAAGUCAUGGUUAAGUGGGAAACGAUGUGGGAAGGCCCAGACAGCCAGGAUGUUGGCUUAGAAGCAGCCAUCAUUUAAAGAAAGCGUAAUAGCUCACUGGUCGAGUCGGCCUGCGCGGAAGAUGUAACGGGGCUAAACCAUGCAC